rnacentral:lncRNA from 1 species
UCCUGCCUCAGCCUCUGGAGUAGCUGGGAUUACAGGCACAUGCCACCACACCCAGCUAAUUUUUUUACUUUUUGCAGAGACAGGGUUUCGCCAUGUUGGCCAGGCUGGUCCCCAACUCCUGACCUCAUGUGAUCCACCCGCCUCGGCUUCCCAAAGUGCUGGGAUUACAGGCGUGAGCCAUCGCACCUGGCCUGAGUUUGCAUUUCUAGGUUCCCAGAUGAUGUGACAGCUACUGGUCUCCAGCCACACCUUGAGAACACUUGGCUUUGACUACCACUUCUUAAACUUAAAGGGUCUUCUCUGUCGCCCAGGCUGGAGUGCAGUGCUGCAGUCGUGGCUCACUGUAGCGUCAGUCUCCUGAGCUCAGGAAAACUAGACAAUCCACCAGCCCAGGAGGGGACAAGCAGGCUUAUUCCUCCUCCUCGUCAUCUCUGGCUCCAGCCCCACCCUGGCCCUUGCUGGCAUUCUUCCUCUUCACGUGGCUGGGGUUGGCCACCCCAAUAGGGAAGCAGAGGGAGAAGUCAAUGUGCUUCUGGGAAUCCAGGCGGACAGUGAAGAACAGGAUAUUUACCACCUGCUCACGGACACGGAUAUGACACUGUUGAAUCAGCACAUGAGCGUGGCGGAUGGACUUAGCCAAGCCAAGCUUGAAGACCUGGGUC